rnacentral:rRNA from 1 species
GUUGCNUGGCUGUCGUCNGCUCGUGUCGUGAGAUGUUGGGUUAAGUCCCGCAACGAGCGCAACCCUCAUCCUUAGUUACCAUCAGGUAAUGCUGGGGACUUUAAGGAAACUGCCAGUGAUAAACUGGAGGAAGGUGGGGAUGAUGUCAAGUCAUCAUGGCCCUUAUGGAGUGGGCUACACACGUGCUACAAUGGUGGCUACAAUGGGCUGCAAAGUCGCGAGGCUAAGCCAAUCCCUUAAAAGCCAUCUCAGUUCGAAUUGUACUCUGCAACUCGAGUGCAUGAAGUUGGAAUCGCUAGUAAUCGUGGAUCAGCACGCCACGGUGAAUACGUUCUCGGGUCUUGUACACACUGCCCGUCACGCCAUGGGAAUUGGUU